rnacentral:rRNA from 1 species
ACUGAGGUGCGAAAGCGUGGGUAGCGAACAGGAUUAGAUACCCUGGUAGUCCACGCCGUAAACGAUGUCAACUAGCCGUUGGGGGGAUUUCCCUUUAGUGGCGCAGCUAACGCGAUAAGUUGACCGCCUGGGGAGUACGGCCGCAAGGCUAAAACUCAAAUGAAUUGACGGGGGCCCGCACAAGCGGUGGAGCAUGUGGUUUAAUUCGAUGCAACGCGAAGAACCUUACCAAGACUUGACAUCCUGCGAACUUUCUAGAGAUAGAUUGGUGCCUUCGGGAACGCAGUGACAGGUGCUGCAUGGCUGUCGUCAGCUCGUGUCAUGAGAUGUUGGGUUAAGUCCCGUAACGAGCGCAACCCUUGUCCUUAGUUGCCAUCAGUUCAGCUGGGAACUCUAAGGAGACUGCCGGUGACAGACCGGAGGAAGGUGGGGACGACGUCAAGUCAUCAUGGCCCUUACGUCUCGGGCUACACACGUGCUACAAUGGGAAGUACAAAGGGUUACCAAACCGUGAGGUGGAGUCAAUCCCAUAAAACUUCUCGUAGUCCGGAUUGAAGUCUGCAACUCGACUUCAUGAAGUCGGAAUCGCUAGUAAUCGCGAAUCAGAAUGUCGCGGUGAAUACGUUCCCGGGCCUUGUACACACCGCCC